GAGGCGGGAUUUUGAAAGCCGGACGCUGACGAGCUUCCGACUUUGGUGUGAACGCACACUUAGAAACUUGGUCCGUCCUACAUAGGUGUAGAAGUCGGAUUUGGAGAGUGCAGAAGCGUGUCCCGGUCAAGGUUAGGUCACAGAGGCUUUGGAACUAUAUAGGUCUGUGUUGUAUUCUUCCAACACUUGCGGACGAUAUGGAUGAGUAAUAUAAGAGCCUGAAUUUCCUUGUCCCUGGAGUGAAGAUAAUACAACCUAAUUGAUGCUAGGUAGGUAAUGAGUUCAACAAAUGGUACCCUUUUUACAUUAUAGUUUGAAACGUAUAGCUACACGGUACUAUUUGUAAGCAGUGUUUCUAGAGAUUUACAACAUAUACCCAAAAAACAGGAAAGGAAUUGUCUUUAAUUGUGGCCUGGUAAAUUCCUGCUGGUUGCUAGAAAAGAGAGUUCUGAGACAAUCCAUGGGUACCUUUUUUCUUUACAUUUGUGUCCUUUAUGAAGCCAGGCACAGUAUGGAAAUUACUGAAUUCAGAAUAUAGCAAGGUUAAAGAGGCUGAAAACGACUUAGAAUAUUUUAUACAAAAAAAGGAAGCAUGCCUAAGAAAUCAGCUUUCUUUAAAUGAGAUUUCAUUCUUAUGAAGCAAGUGAAUUUCUAUUUUACAAGUAAACCAUAUACUGUACCUUGUCUUUCAAAUAAGAAGUUAGCUAUCUCACCCAAAAAUGUAUGUGCACAAUGUAUUUUAGAGAAAGCUCACUUUCUGAUAGUCUAUAUUUACUGUAUCUUGUUUAACAUACCAGGCCAAGACAUUUGAAUAGACACUUGGCACCAGAAAAAAAUAAUUCACCUAUUAUGAAAAUGUCAUAUUAUUAAAAUACAUACCACGAUUUAGCAUUACAAAUGCUUUAAAAAGCUGAAUCAUGGGCUAGGCACAGUGGCUCACACCUGUAAUCCCAGCACUUUGGGAGUCCAAGGAGGGCGGAUCACAAGGUCAGGAGUUCGAGACCAGCCUGGCCAACAUGGUGAAACCCCCUCUACUAAAAAUGCAAAAAUUAGCUGGGUGUGGUGUCAUGCACCUGUAAUCCCAGCUACUCAGGAGGCUGAGUUAAGAGAAUCACUUGAACCCAGGAGGCAGAGAUUGCAGUGAGCCGAGAUCACACCACUACACUCAAGCCUGGGUGACAGAGCAAGACUCCAUCCCCCUCCACCAAAAAAGCUGAAUCAGGUACUACAUUAUUGAAAAAAAUACCCUUUUACCCCUUUUUACUCAUGUCCCUCACCAGUUAUAUAAAAGCAGUUCUAGAAAAGUGGCCUUAGUAUAUUUAAAAGUCUAAUUCAUGCCUUUGAGUAUGCACUCUAUUAUAGGCACUAUGCUCAAUUUGCAAACAUGAAGGAAACUAAAUUACUCUUUUUCAGGAAACUAUAUCCCCUAAUGGACAAACAAUGCUUAAGGGGCCAACUAGACAUUGCAGAGGCUCCUCACAGAGCUGAAAGGAACCUACAUAUAUAACUAGAGGCACAGUGGGUGGCCCUGAAUACCUUACAGGAAACAGACUGAUUUUCUCAUUGAAAAGGUAUGCUACAUGAUGGAGAAGAGUCAGUGGGGCCCCUGCAGUCAGUCCUCUCCCAUGGAAUCCCUGAUCUGCACAAUCACUUAGUAAGGAACAGGAAGACUUCUGGGAUUCAAAUAGUGACCCCAUGUUGCCCAUUCCCUAGAUGAUGGGAACUUCAAGACAACGCUCUAGAAAGAGAAAGGUAAAAGCAAAAAGUAUCUAAGUUCCUAGCUGCUCCAAAAAAAAAAAAGGCCUGCCGCUGGCUGUUGACCACUAAUCCCUAAAAAUGCAUCAGGUGGACUAAAGCCAGGUCUGAGAAGAAAUGAAGGUGCGUAUACACGGCCUACUGCAUCUCUUUCCCCAAAUUACAUUCAAGAUAUACAGAUGUUCUCAGCUACUACUCUUUCCUCAUUUUCCUCCUACAACUUAGCUGUUCUUCCUUUGGCCCUUGCACACUGACUUGCCUGUUGCUCCGUCCAAGUUCUGCUAAUUCCACUUUCUUACUAUUAAUAUUUCUGGAGUCUGCCUAUUUUCACCUUUACUGAAUGCAAUGCUUUAAAAUGGUCUAGGUAUAUUCCCUACCUAGAACUCAUACCUAUGCACAGUGGGACACAUCCAGGGACUUACAUAGCAGCAUUAAUUAUGAGAGUAAAAAAGGAAGAACCACAUAAAAUUCAAUGACAGAUCAUGGGAAUAAAUCAAUGGUUCAUUUAUAAAAUAUAGUAUUUUAUACCAAAGGUUUUCAAACAUCUUGGUCUUGGGAUCCCUUUAUGCUCUUAAUAAUUAUAUUGAUCAUAUCAGAAAUUAAAAUGAUUUUCUUGGAAAUUUAAGUCAUUUAGAAAGAAUAAAUUUAUUACAUUAACAUUUUUGUGGAAAAUAACUUUUCUAAAAAUAAUUGGUCAAAAUGGCAUUGUUUUACAUUUUUAAAAUGUCAGAUCUACUUUUGCUUAUACGGAAUCUUUAGUCACAAAUCAGUCCAUUUAGCCUUUGAGUUGAAAAUAGUAUGAAUACCAUCAGUUGACAUUAAUUAAGCACUUAGUUUAUUUUCUAUAUCUCUCUCAUUUAAUCCUUAUGACAGCCCAAUAAGCUAGGCAUUAUUAUUAUUAUUCCCAUUAUGAUGAUGAGGCAAAAGACUUAAGGAAGGAUAAAUAACUCGAUAAAUGCUACACAAGCAGCUGGUUGGAUUGCAAGGAUUCUAAUCUAGAUGCUCUUACCCACCAUGCUAUGUUAAACUUGAUUGCACUGCAUCAUGCACUUGAGAAUUCAACAGUUAAUUAAUGAUAAUAGGGUCAAAUUUACAUCUAAAAA